rnacentral:rRNA from 1 species
CAGCAGUGGGGAAUAUUGGACAAUGGGCGAAAGCCUGAUCCAGCCAUGCCGCGUGUGUGAAGAAGGCCUUCGGGUUGUAAAGCACUUUCAGUAGGGAGGAAAGUUGGUGGUUAAUACCCAUCAGCCCUGACGUUACCUACAGAAGAAGCACCGGCUAACUCCGUGCCAGCAGCCGCGGUAAUACGGAGGGUGCGAGCGUUAAUCGGAAUUACUGGGCGUAAAGCGUACGUAGGCUGUUACUUAAGCUAGAUGUGAAAGCCCCGGGCUCAACCUGGGAACUGCAUUUAGAACUGAGUAGCUAGAAUGUGUGAGAGGUAAGUGGAAUUUCCAGUGUAGCGGUGAAAUGCGUAGAGAUUGGAAAGAACACCAGUGGCGAAGGCGACUUACUGGCAUAACAUUGACGCUGAGGUACGAAAGCGUGGGUAGCAAACAGGAUUAGAUACCCUGGUAG